UUAAUUUUUUUUUUUUGUCUCCACCGACUAAAUCUGAUUGUCCGUAGAGAAAAAGAAACGUCAAAUUUUUUUUUCUCUUAUCAUCUUCGACGAUCUUGUUUUUUCAAAUCUGAAAAAUUUGAAGUUCUUUUUCUGAUUCUUCCAUGUUUAAAUCAGAAAUAAUAGAUUAAAUUACUCAAUAAUCAUGUAGAGAGAAGAAACUAAACAAUUGGAGUUUUCCUUCACUUAGCUUCAAUCAGAAGGAGGUGGGUGGAUCUUUCUACACCAAUCGCGUGAUGGUCAGAGAGAUUAUCCAAGAGAAUUUAGUUCUUGUAUCUAGUGACUUGGUUCUUGAGGGAAAUGGUUCAAAGUCUUUCAAGUUCAAUCGUAAUGGAUCAUGUGCCCCCUUUAUCUUUGUUUCCCAAAUGGAUACCAUUCUGAAUCCGAUAAAAGUUAUGUUUUUUUCCGAGGCUGUGGAUAUCAAUUCAUCUGGUCUUUGUGUUGUUAAAAUUCAUCUGAUCAAUUUGUUUGUGUAGGAUGAACUACUAUUUAAAGUCCUCCUGCAAUUCCUGUCUGGACCAUUGCAUAGGGAAGAAAUCUAAGAAGGGUAAAUCGGUGCCAUGUUUAAAUUUGAAAUUCUUUUUCUGAUUCUUCCAUUUAGAUCCAUCUUCCCCUGGAUCAAUGCACCAUGGAGGACACAAGUUUCAUGAGGUUUUCCAAAUGAAACAGGGGCGUUAUGAUCUUCAAGCUUCAAAGAUUUCUGAAAUGAUGAAAUCAAGUAGCUUAGAUUCACUUUUGAGCGUGGUGAAUGGAAUUUUAGAUGAAAGCAUUACUGAUAGGAAUGGUGAAAUCCCACAGCGUGUGGCAUUCCUCUUGAGAAAAGUCGUGCAGGAGAUUGAGCGACGUAUAUCAACUCAAGUUGAGCAUCUCAGAACGCAAAACAAUAUUUUCAAAACUCGUUAGGAAAAAUAUCAGUCAAGGAUCAAUGUCCUUGAAGCCUUGGCAUCAUGAAGUGGUGUAGAACAUGAGAUUGCUACACGAUAGCUUAGACAGAUAAAGACAGAAAAGUCAAUGUGGGAAGAAAAGAAGAAACAUGAAGAGGAAGAUGAGGAACAAACUAUUCUCUUCUUUUUAUCAAUUUUGUUCAAUCCUGGAGAUUUUAUUCUGUAUAUUUUUUUUCCGAGGUUGAAGUUCAUAAAUGAAGAAAAUAAAUGUAAUUAAGUACUGCUAUCAGCACAGUGCGUCUUGAAGGUAAUUUGAUUAAGCAGAAGGAAGUGUUUUUGUUGAAGCAACCCGGCACUGUAGAUUGGUGAUGUUCGUGAGAACAUCUAUUGAAAAUUUUUGAGUCAAACCGGAGCUGUUAUUUUCAAUUGAAGGCAUGCCCGAGUAAAAACUUGAACCUGGAAUGGACUGUCGAAGAGAUGUUGGUGUCCUAAAAUGACUAGUAGAAGAAUUACCAAGGAUAUUUUCCCAGAUGGUGAGGAUGGAGUAGUAGAGUCGGUAGUAUGCGGGCUACAUUCUAACAUGAGAGGUCCCUGUAAACAAACAAUAGCUAGUUAUAUAAAGAAAAUUACUUCUGGUCCCCUGUUUCUGAUGCUAGCUGAAUGUGUAGAUCAUUUACCUGGUCACCAGAACAGUAGAUGUUGCAUUUAGUGUCUUAGAAGAAUUUUUCAACAGUUGUUCGUCGAGUAGGCCAUCUUUCAAGAGGAAUU